rnacentral:tRNA from 1 species
GGAGGUAUGGUUCAAAUGGUAGAGCACCAGUUGACUAAGACUAACAAGUGAGAGGAUCUGAGUUCAAACCCCAGUACUGCCA